rnacentral:sRNA from 1 species
CAGUUUCGCCGAAGCCGACCUCCUCCCCGGCAACGGCGAACGGUCGAUCUCCUCCUCCUCCCAGGAUCGACCACCCUAACGACACCCGCCGGACCUCCUCCCCCGGCGGGUGUUGUCG